UACGGGGGGGGGCAAGCGUUGUUCGGAAUUACUGGGCGUAAAGGGCUUGUAGGUGGCCAACUAAGUCAGACGUGAAAUCCCUCGGCUUAACCGGGGAACUGCGUCUGAUACUGGAUGGCUUGAAUCCGGGAGAGGGAUGCGGAAUUCCAGGUGUAGCGGUGAAAUGCGUAGAUAUCUGGAGGAACACCGGUGGCGAAGGCGGCAUCCUGGACCGGCAUUGACGCUGAGGAGCGAAAGCCAGGGGAGCAAACGGG
rnacentral:rRNA from 1 species